rnacentral:tRNA from 1 species
GGGCGUCUAGCUCAAAUGGUGGAGCGCUCGCUUCGCAUGCGAGAGGUACUGGGAUGGAUACCCAGGUCGUCCA